UACGUAGGGUGCAAGCGUUGUCCGGGAUUAUUGGGCGUAAAGAGCUCGUAGGCGGUCUGUCACGUCGGCUGUGAAAACCCGAGGCUCAACCUCGGGCCUGCAGUCGAUACGGGCAAACUAGAGUACUGCAGGGGAGACUGGAAUUCCUGGUGUAGCGGUGAAAUGCGCAGAUAUCAGGAGGAACACCGGUGGCGAAGGCGGGUCUCUGGGCAGUAACUGACGCUGAGGAGCGAAAGCGUGGGGAGCGAACAGG
rnacentral:rRNA from 1 species